GACGUAGGGCGCGAGCGUUGUCCGGAAUUAUUGGGCGUAAAGAGCUCGUAGGCGGUUUGUCGCGUCUGCUGUGAAAACGCGAGGCUCAACCUCGCGCCUGCAGUGGGUACGGGCAGACUAGAGUGCGGUAGGGGGAGAUUGGAAUUCCUGGUGUAGCCGGUGGAAUGCGCAGAUAUCAGGAGGAACACCGAUGGCGAAGGCAGAUCUCUGGGCCGUAACUGACGCUGAGGAGCGAAAGCGUGGGGAGCGAACAGG
rnacentral:rRNA from 1 species